AUUUAUGACCCAUCCUGUGUCCCACAGUCUGCUAGGCCCAGAAGGUGCAGAAAUGAAUAGAUACAACUCUAAGCCUGUAGGGGCUUUUCACCUAGUGGGGGAAGAUGUGGAGCCAGAGAAUUACUGUACACUGUGGUAAUGCUUCACUACAGCAAUGACACAAUGGACCGUGGCAAGCACAGAAGAGGGAGGGGCUGGCACUCAGCCUGGUAGAUCCAGGGAGCCCUCCCAGAAGAGGGGACUUCCUAGGCGAAUGAGGAGAGUUGGCUUUGACUGCUGAAGAGUGAAAGACUCAUAUUUAUCUGGUCAUCUCCAAAAGGUAAGUGCUGAACAACCUGGCAAAGUCAGCACCUGAGGAAUACUUCAAAGAAAACCAGGUUUUGGAAUAUGCAACUGAAAUUUCCAACUUAUUGGAUAAAGUCCCGUGAUCAAGCAACCAUGAAAUACAUAGAAGGUUCGUUGCCUGAAAUACGUCUCACAAAAAUGAAACUUCAAGAGUGCUUAAAUGUCAGGAAAAGCUUGUUUGGCGAGAAAAACAUGCUGGUUGGAGAAGUUAUGGAAUUUUUAGCAGAUUUGCUGUUUUUUUUCUCCAGAGAGAUAGUAAAAACAGGUGUUUUUUGAGACACUUGACGCCACACACGCCUCUUCUUACUCAUGUUAAGACCAGCACUGUGAGCAGAGAACAGGACUUCCUUUACAGAAGCAAAAAGCUGGACCAUAGAACCGUUAUCUUGUAAAAGAAAUAUCUAAACACUUAGCGUACUGACUGAGUCAUCUCUCCUGCCCGGCUGCCCCACGCCAAGUCACAAGCCACUGAGUGCUGCCUGGCUAUUCUGCAGGGACAGCCUUGGCGACCAUACAUGGAUGGCUUCCUGCAGGCCUCACUGCCAAUGGCCAACCUUCAGAAACAACGGAGAAGUCGGCCUUGGCCUCGUUGAAGGCUAUCCUUGGAUUAUCCAGCGUCUUUCCCAUUGGUUCAAACCAGGAGACAUUUUGUUGCAUAACUUGGCUCACCUCUCAACCACGCGUAGACCCUUUGCCCUGGUGGCCAGGGGCCCUUGCGACAGCACUCAUGCACCACGGAAAUGAUCCAUGGGAUCCUGAGGGCCUUGUAGAAGGGGGCUGGGUAGAGCUGGACAAAUGAAAUCAAAUUUAAAAGUUAAAGUUAAGAAAGCAGAUCAGAGAAGAGUGAACAAAAUGUUUGAAGAGGAACAGUGACAGAUUCUCAGUGAAAUGACUAUCAUCUACUUUCCCCAACCAUUUGGCCAUCCAUCUGUAGUUCCCCUGCUGUCAGUAUCCUGAAUGGCAGCUGAGGCUCAGCUUCUUUUGUGGGUUCCUUUUCUUUCCUUGCCUCUGGCCCAAAUAUCAGCAUCCUCUUGGGCUCGGUUCCUGGGCUCUAUUCUUGUCUCAGACUGAGCACAUCGGCCCUACCAGGGCCCAGGGCUUUAGCUGCUGUUCUGUAAGGUGAGUGGUCUUUGUUUUCGUCUCCUUCUCAGGCCUCUGUCAUCAUCACCAGCAGCCAUGUGCUUCCAUCUGUUCACUGGUCAUCUCACUUGGGUAUUCCACUGGCACUCCAGAGUCAAUGUGUUCUAGACUGGACACACCCACCCCUCACCCCCGACUCAGUUCUCCUUCUCCCAUCUCACUUGGUGCAGACACCAUGG
ensembl:lncRNA